GUGAAUCAUCAAAUUUUUGAACGCAAAUUGCACUCUCUGGCAUCCCGGGGAGUAUGCCUGUUUGAGGGUCAGUAUUAAUAAAAAAUCGGUUUGGUUGCAAAUUGUGUGGUGACGGACGGUUGGGCUAUCUUAACUUUUUCGGUUAAGGGGCUUAAAAUUGACCAUUUUUGCGCAUUUUUAGACGAACUGAUUUUAUUUUUGUU
rnacentral:misc_RNA from 1 species